UACGAAGGGGGGCUAGCGUUGCUCGGAAUCACUGGGCGUAAAGGGUGCGUAGGCGGGUCUUUAAGUCAGGGGUGAAAUCCUGGAGCUCAACUCCAGAACCGCCUUUGAUACUGAGGAUCUUGAGUUCGGGAGAGGUGAGUGGAACUGCGAGUGUAGAGGUGAAAUUCGUAGAUAUUCGCAAGAACACCAGUGGCGAAGGCGGCUCACUGGCCCGAUACUGACGCUGAGGCACGAAAGCGUGGGGAGCAAACAGG
rnacentral:rRNA from 1 species